rnacentral:rRNA from 1 species
UACGUAGGGUGCAAGCGUUGUCCGGAAUUAUUGGGCGUAAAGAGCUCGUAGGCGGUCUGUCGCGUCGGAUGUGAAAAUCCAGGGCUCAACCCUGGACCUGCAUUCGAUACGGGCAGACUAGAGUUCGGUAGGGGAGACUGGAAUUCCUGGUGUAGCUGUGAAAUGCGCAGAUAUCAGGAGGAACACCGGUGGCGAAGGCGGGUCUCUGGGCCGAAACUGACGCUGAGGAGCGAAAGCGUGGGGAGCAAACAGG